rnacentral:rRNA from 1 species
AGAGCGAACGCUGGCGGCAGGCCUAACACAUGCAAGUCGAGCGCCCGUAGCAAUACGGGAGCGGCAGACGGGAUAGUAACACGUGGGAACGCGCCCUUCGGUUCGGAAUAACUCAGGGAAACUUGAGCUAAUACCGGAUACGCCCUUACGGGGAAAGAUUUAUUGCCGAAGGAACGGCCCGCGUCCGAUUAGCUAGUUGGUGAGGUAAUGGCUCACCAAGGCGACGAUCGGUAGCUGGUCUGAGAGGAUGACCAGCAUCACUGGGACUGAGACACGGCCCAGACUCCUACGGGAGGCAGCAGUAGGGAAUUUUCCACAAUGGGCGAAAUCCUGAUGGAGCAACGCCGCGUGCAGGAUGAAUGCCUUCGGGUUGUAAACUGCUUUUAUCUGUGACGAUUAUGACGGUAGCAGAUGAAUAAGGAUCGGCUAACUCCGUGCUAGCAGCCGC